UUUUUUUGAGGUGGGUGGGCACGGAGACGAGACGAGACAGAAGCAGGGCACGAUGCCGAGGUUGGAAGAGGCGAGGGUGCCGUGUUGUGUUACGAGGCCACGAGGCGGAGGCCGAAGCGACGAGGCUGAGGCAGGCCGCUGAGGAUCCGCGGGGGCGAGGCCACGAGGUGGAGGCGGAAGCGGACGGAGUUGCGGAAUGUUCUAGACGCUCUCCUCUGCGGCGGUUACCGCUGGAUCCCAAAGCCGGGGAGGUGGACGCGGCGGGGCGGCGGCGGCAACCCCUGUUUAGGCAGACGAGGUGGGGAGUGGCUAGAUGCCGAGGGCAGCAGGCGGAGGCCGACGAGAGUUAGCUCGGUCAGCGGCGGGGCCUCGAGGCGCACACGGCGGAGGCUGUAGGGGGCAGGUGCUUGGGCCCGCCGGCGUUUAGAGGGCAUGGAGGCAGGUGAUAGGGGGGGUUCGUCGGCGUGGGGAGGGGUCCGAGAGUUGGUCCAGCCUCGCCGCCGCCAACGUUCUCCUCUCCUCCUCGCGCGCGCUCUCGACAUGGGUACACCACCGUCGUAAUGGAGGAGUUGGUGCACCCGCUACUGUUCUGCGUGAAGCAACGGCACCGAUGCCCACCAAAGUCCGUGUCGUACACGUAUGGCGUCCUCCAACCCUUGGUAAACCCCUCGUACUAGAGACUUUGGUAGUUUGAUCUUCGAGGAUUACCGUAUAAAGUAUAACCUCACACAUCUUUCUGCCCACUCGAUCAAGAAGUCAGACCGACCCUAUUUAAACAGCGUUACGUAGUGUAUCUUCUUUUAAUAAGAAAAACCAAGCACAUGGCACCCUUGAGAUGGAAAUUCCAAGCAUAUAAGUUAAGGUUACUAGUACUCUACUGAUGAAGGACAAGAGUUGGUGGAGUCUCGAAACCCCCACAAGGUAGACGGCGUUGAACGCUAGUAGUACACGACUUACCUAUACUUCGAGUGUACGACUUACUCGCACGUAGACACCUCAAACCCCAGCUAAACCUUGGAGUAUCGAGGCCGUUAGAGCUCCCCGGAAGGGUCGUAAGGAUGUAAAAUCGACGUCCCUAUUGAGAUCCACGACACCUCUGCUUCUUUCAACUCCUCUUUCAGGUUCGUUAAGUUAGACGUGAAGGAUAGAAGCACUGUCAUUACUGGUUUUGGACCCAAUUACCGGCAUUAAACGCGAAGACGGCACUUAUGCCAAGUUCUAUAUAAGGUGGAUACUCCUUUCCUUUCGGAGAGUACGAGGUCCGUCUCCCUUCUUGCUGCCUCACCGGUCGGUCUAACCCUUAUCUACGCUGAUCUCACUUGACCUAAGCAGCACCGACCUUCCUUAAGCAGCGGCCGUUACUGCACGCCCUCCCCCUAUAGACGGAGAAACUUGCCCGUUUCUCGUGCUGUGCCGAAUCCUACUGCCAGGUAAAGGAGGCGUUCAGUCUGUACCUCCACAUCGAGUUCGGGAUCAUACCAAGAUUGGCACCAUGGGACGGUACCGUGACGGAACUGUACUGUCACUCACUUGAACAUAGAUUAAACCCUAUCCAACCUGAAAUCAGACGGAGAUCAAUCAUCACAUGACAGACUACGAGUAUACGUAUAACAAACACUAAUCCUCCUACAGAAGUCCACUAUUGGAAAAGGGGGUACUCUGCGUUUGUAGUAAUACGAUGCACGUACGAGACAAGUUGACCCUAAUAUCGCGAACAAGUACUUAUACUUUUUGACAAACCAACCUGACGGU
rnacentral:rRNA from 1 species